CCUACGGGGGGCAGCAGUGAGGAAUAUUGGUCAAUGGGCGCGAGCCUGAACCAGCCAAGUCGCGUGAGGGAAGACGGUCCUAUGGAUUGUAAACCUCUUUUGUCGGGGAGCAAAAGACGCCACGCGUGGCGUUCUGAGAGUACCCGAAGAAUAAGCAUCGGCUAACUCCGUGCCAGCAGCCGCGGUAAUACGGAGGAUGCGAGCGUUAUCCGGAUUUAUUGGGUUUAAAGGGUGCGUAGGCGGAAGUUCAAGUCAGCGGUAAAAUUGAGAGGCUCAACCCCGGCGAGCCGUUGAAACUGGUUGUCUUGAGUGAGCGAGAGGUAUGCGGAAUGCGUGGUGUAGUGGUGAAAUGCAUAGAUAUCACGAAGAACUCCGAUGGCGAAGGCAGCAUACCGGCGCUCAACUGACGCUCAUGCACGAAAGUGUGGGUAUCGAACAGGAUUAGAUACCCGUGUAGUC
rnacentral:rRNA from 1 species